rnacentral:rRNA from 1 species
CCUACGGGAGGCAGCAGUGGGGGAUAUUGCACAAUGGGGGGAACCCUGAUGCAGCGACGCCGCGUGGGUGAAGAAGCGCCUCGGCGCGUAAAGCCCUGUCAGCAGGGAAGAAAAUGACGGUACCUGAAGAAGAAGCACCGGCUAACUACGUGCCAGCAGCCGCGGGAAUACGGAGGGGGCAAGCGUUAUCCGGAUUUACUGGGUGUAAAGGGGGCGCAGACGGCGGUGCAAGCCAGGAGUGAAAGCCCGGGGCCUAACCCCGGGAUUGCUCUUGGUACUGGGUGGCUAGAGUGCAGGAGGGGCAGGUGGAAUUCCAGGUGUAGCGGUGAAAUGCGUAGAGAUGAGGAGGAACACCGGUGGCGAAGGCGGCCUGCUGGAC